rnacentral:rRNA from 1 species
UGGGGAAUUUUGGACAAUGGGCGAAAGCCUGAUCCAGCCAUGCCGCGUGAGUGAAGAAGGCCUUCGGGUUGUAAAGCUCUUUUAGUCGGAAAGAAAGAGUUGCAAUGAAUAAUUGUGAUUUAUGACGGUACCGACAGAAAAAGCACCGGCUAACUACGUGCCAGCAGCCGCGGUAAUACGUAGGGUGCGAGCGCUAAUCGGAAUUACUGGGCGUAAAGGGUGCGCAGGUGGUCUUGCAAGUCAGAUGUGAAAGCCCCGGGCUUAACCUGGGAAUUGCGUUUGAAACUACAAGACUAGAGUGCAGCAGAGGGGAGUGGAAUUCCAUGUGUAGCAGUGAAAUGCGUAGAGAUGUGGAAGAACACCGAUGGCGAAGGCAGCUCCCUGGGUUGACACUGACGCUCAUGCACGAAAGCGUGGGGAGCAAACA